rnacentral:rRNA from 1 species
CCAGCAGCCGCGGUAAUUCCAGCUCCAAUAGCGUAUAUUAAAGUUGUUGCAGUUAAAAAGCUCGUAGUUGGAUUUCUGGUACGGUGUACCUGGUCCGCCCCUUUAUGGUGGUGUGUACCGGAGUGCGCCUGCCAUCCUUCCGGGGAACGCCGUCUACCCUUCACUGUGGCCGGACGCGUGACUCGGAUCGUUUACUUUGAAAAAAUUAGAGUGUUCAAAGCAGGCUUAUAGCCUUGAAUACAUUAGCAUGGAAUAAUAAGAUAGGACUCUGGUUCUAUUUUGUUGGUUUCUAGGACGAGAGUAAUGAUUGAUAGGGACAGUUGGGGGUGCUCGUAUUGAACGGC